rnacentral:rRNA from 1 species
ACGAACGCUGGCGGCGUGCUUCACCCAUGCAAGUCGAACGGGCCUGUCUUCUUUUUUGGGGGUGGGUUGAGUGGCGAACGGGUGAGUAUCACGUGAGUAACCUGCCCUUCGGUCCUGGAUAACCGCUUGAAAGGGCGGCUAAUACGGGGUGGUCCGGUUGGUCCGCAUGGGCUGGUCGGGAUAGAUUCACUGUUUUUGGUGUUUCGGCGGGGGAUGGGCUCGCGGCCUAUCAGCUUGUUGGUGGGGUGAUGGCCUACCAAGGCGGUGACGGGUAGCCGGCCUGGGAGGGUGGGCGGCCACACUGGGACUGGGAUACGGCCCAGACUGCUGCGGGAGGCAGCAGUGGGGGGUAUUGCACAAUGGGCGGAAGCCUGAUGCAGCGACGUCGCGUGAGGGAUGGAGGCCUUCGGGUUGUGAGCCUCUGUUUCCGGUGGUGAAGGCCCUGUCCGUGUGGUGGGGUUGACGGUAGCCGGGGAUGAAGCGCCGGCUAACUACGUG